UUCUCUCUCUCAGCUUUUCCUUGCCUAUUUUUCUGACCUGUAAUCCAUAAUUCAUUUACACAUAUUUUUGCUCUUUUUCUUUCUUCUUCAUCAUGGCAUAUUUUUAAAUCUCAGAAUUAAAUUUUGACCAUUUCUGUCAGGAAGCUGCUUGCAUUAACAGGGAGCUUGAACUCAAAUCUCCCAAUUCUGAUCUUGAUGAAGCUGCCAGGGAGGCUGAACAAGUCCUUCAAAGCUGAAAAUGAAGACCAAAGGAAGGAGAGGGAUGAAUUUGGCCAUCUUGUGCGUUUACGGAGAAGACAAAAAGCUGCAAAGGCAAACAUUUCCAAUGGAUUUCUCACAGAUUCCUUCUCCAUCAGCUUGUGAAUGAAGAGCCAACCCUUUCAAAAUCUCUCUCCCUCUCAUGUGGCACAUCUGCUCUCAGCCCUACAGUGAACACAUCUCUACUGUGAGCAGUCCUGUCACUGCCACCAUCCCUCCCACUAUUUUCCACAUGCCAACACAGAGGAAGAACGGUAAAUAAUAAAAAUGGGAAGAAAAGAAUAUGUUUCCGAUGGGAGCCUUGCAACUUCUGUGGCACAGACUGGAGAAGUUCCUGGGUGACAGAGGAUGCUGUUCUGGGCACUUGUUGUCUUUAAACAGUUUGACAUAUCACUAAAAUUGGGAAAUUACUACAAAA